AUAUAUUAUUUUAGAGAAAAAAGAAAAUCAAAAUAUAAUAUUGAAAUUAAUUCUUUUUCAUUAUUUAUCUUAUAAAUUGUAUAAAAGUAUGCAAAAUUAUGAAUUAAUUUGAUCAUGAAAGAAAAUCUGAGAUAGGUAAAAUGAAAUGGAAAUAUGAGGAAACUAUGAGAUUGUUUCACUUUUUUAUUUUAAGUGAUAUCCAUAUCCUUUCUAUGAUCAAUGUAAACUAGCGGCAAGGCUUCUAAGCUAUUAAUUAACUUUCUGGGGAUGAAAUACCAUUUUGGAUUUUCCAUUAAAAUUAUGCUUUGCUGAAUAUCAUGGAGCACAGCUAAAGUGACUUCUAUCCAAAUGUCUAAUGGGAUAUUAUACCAAAAUAUUAGUAUAGAUUUACCUGUAAUAAAAAUAUUCUGUGGCAGUGAGAUUAAAUUAUAGUGAUAUAAAUACUCCUAUUCAUUCUAACAAAUGCCCAAAGUGUCAGAUAGAAAAUUAAGUUAAAUCGCUAUAUAAGGAAAUGAUCAGCAUAAACAUCUAUAUAAAACUUACAUAAAACUAUACCAUAGGGAAAAAUUGUAUAUCAUGAGCUACUGCCUUCACCUAAAAUCUUUUCAAGGAUUUCAUAUUCAAAUGAUUCUAGAUUGUUAUUAUUAUAUUGAUAUUAAAGUAUUGUGGGCUGCUUUGAGGCUAUCAUUGAGACUAUGCCUACUUCCCUCCAAAAUACCUGUUUAUCAGGACUUCAUUAUUUUUCUUCCAUUAUGUCUGAAAAGAAAACAGUACAGCAUCACAAACUUAUUUUACAAACCUAGAAAUCUAUUAGUUGCCAUAUGUUCUGCCACAUUUACAUCCCUUAAAAGCCAUCAGCAGAUGCGUUGCUAUGAUAGCUGUGUAUACCCAUACAGUCUCUUAUAGUCAGAGUUUACCCAAAUUUCAAGGGCUCUGACAUCCUAAAAUAUUCUCUUUACUAUUUUUUCUCCUGCAAAAAGAGCAUGAGCCUAUUAAUAGAGUGGCUCUUGGAGUCACUGUAUUACUUCUUUUCAUGUUUUUGCCUUGAACAUACAGAAUAAAAAACACAAUUGAGAAAGUGGGGAAAGAAAUUGGUUGGGACACUAGACUGUCUUCUCUAUCCAGUUCUUUAGAUCUUACUCCAAAAAUAAUAAAAACAGUUCAUCUAGAAUUCUGAUGUCAGUAAAACUGUUACUCUAGUGUUCUGACUGGCAUCCAGAGAAAGGAAGUCAAAUGUGAAACUCAGAUAAAUUUCCACACAUGUGAUGUUGUUAAUUACACUUUGAACUAGAAAGUUAUAUAUAGAAAGGACUUUAAACUCCUUGAGUCUGAAAGCAAGAGAUUUUGUAUAUUAGCUGAAGACUUAGAUUGACCCUGAAAUCUAUUAGGCUUCAAGGAAAACAUAGCUUUGGGUAUGAAAAGAUUUCCCUCAGGCUUUGUUUUUUGUUUUUCUUUCUGAUUUCUGCUGAUAGUCAGUCAGGACUAGUGCUUGCCUGCGAUGAAUAACCAGGGCAGAAACUUGAGGCAAAAGCCCAUAGUAAAAACGGGGAUAUUUCAUUUAUUAGGUACUUCGUAUACAGGAUAUUUCAGGAAGCCUGCUGUUAUUGUGUGGGUUCUCCCAAUAAAGCAGGGUUUGAGACAAGGACAUUUUUUUGGCUUUUAAGCCCACGCUUGUGGCAUAUAGAAGUGCCCAGGCUAGGGGUCAAAUCGGAGCUACAGCUGCCAGCCACAGCCACCGCGACCGCCACAACCACAGCAACACAGGAUCCAACCUGCAUCCGUGACCUACACCACAGCUCAUGGCAACACCAGAUCCUUAACCCACUGAGCAAGGCCAGGGAUCAAACCCUUAUCCUCAUGGGUACUAGUUGGGUUCGUUAGUGCUGACCCACAAUAGGAACUCCCAAACAAGAAUGUUUAUAUAGAAUUUAUUUUUAGAAGUGAUGUUAAUGCACCAAAAUGGAAGGAGUAGAAAAAUUGAAACAAAGAAAGAGGUAGAGUUGUCUUAAGAAGCAUGAUAUGACUGUCCCCACUAUGGGUCACUGGGACUCAGUCCCACUAGGGAUCUUAUGAGGAAUACUAUAAAGUGCUGAAACAUGAGAGAGGGUAUUUGUUUAUGCAGUUUGCCCCACAGUUAUGCACGUAUGCCUUCAUCAGCUUGCUGAUUAGCCUUCGAGAGUUUUCCAAUGCUGCUAUAGCAAAGAAAUACCAUUCAGAAAGCAAGAGAUGUGUUGUAUAUCUGUGUCAAGGUGCUGCAAUGCUAGACCAAAAACACCUAUGGUAAACUUUUCAAGGGAAAUGUAAAAAGUAUCUGAUGGAGACCACCUCUCCUUGCACAGGUCAAGCCCUCCUAGCCCUGCAUUAAGUCCAGUACCCCACAGAUGUAAUAUGAGAAUGCAGUGUUGCUGGCAGAAUCUAAUUUUUUGUAGUAUCGAAGUCUUCAUUCCUUGAUGAUUCUUAGCUAAGGUUUAUUCUCAGCCCCUGGUAUUUGCCUGAAUUUCUUGCUACCUGGUAUUCUGCCAACCCUAGAAAAUCUCUAUAGUAUCAAAUCCUUUCACGUUUUGAAGGAAUGCCUCACCAGAAAGAACCUCAUUCCUUUUAAGGACUCAUUGGUUUGGGUCAGGCUCACCAAGGACAAUUUUCUCAUCUUAAGGUAAACUGCUAUGGGAGCAAAAUUGCUCAAGUAAAAUACAUUUUGACAUAUAAGAAUCAUUGAAAAGAUAGUUUGUCAAAUUCACAGGUUCCACAUUCAAGUGGAGUUGUUUAUACAAAGGUGAGAGCCACUGAGUUUACCUUAGAAUUCUACCUACCCCACUCUCAUCCUGGGGCUUCACAGAGUCUCCUUCCAAAUCCACAGAAGCUCACCAACUUGCAUUUUGGAAAAAAAUAAAGUUGUUCUCUUAAUAGGGCAUGAAAAAUAACAACAGCCUGGUUUGACUUUAAGGAUGUCUCAGCAUGCCUGUACUACUGGUUACUGAAAAUGCUCAGUAAUAUUGACGGCCCCUGAAAACUUUUUGAAUUUCAUCUCCCUCCCUUUGACAUGCAUACAUCUUACGAAGCUUCUAGCGUACUUACCUUUUCUGUUCAUCAGGUUCACCAAGGAUGAUACACUAAUACAGCAUGAUUGAACACUUUUUUUCAAGAAAAAAUUAGAACGCUUUGUUAGACUAUUAGUUACAUACUGAAUUUUCUGAACCCCCGGAAUCUCCCUCAGACAAUUCUGCUCAUUGUAUUUUGGAUCAACUCCCUGAUUCAGGGGCUCAUACCAUAUAUCUGAGACAAGAAUAAAAAGUAGAGUUAUUUGUAAUUGGGGUUGGUCAUUUUCCCUCAGGAGUGAAAUAGAUAGAUAGGCUGUACAAUACUAUUGUCUUCCCACAGAGUCUCAGAAAUUGUUUCAUCCAGGUGUAAAUGUCUAUUUAUCUGCUGAGGUUGAAGUAGGAAAGGGGAAGAAGCUCAAUGUCACUUUCCAUUUCCACACUCUUCUCUUCCUGGAAGUCUGGAGUUCCUGUUAAAAGCUCUGAUUAUUGUGUAGAUACAUCUUUCCCAUCAGCUUUCCAGCCUGCAACAAACACUGAUUUGAUCCAUCCAUCACUGUGAAAGCCAUCAGCCACUGUUUGUGAACAAGCUGACGGGUGCUGGCUUUAUUUGGCUGAGGUUGAGGGAAUGGCAGUUCUAUCAAGUGAGCCAAAAUUCAGUUUCUGGGGCUUUUGGUGUCUAUUUGACUUAGGGAUGUUAAAAAUACCCUCUCUUUUCAACCAGCAAUGGUCUAGAAAUGCACUCUUGCUUUGUUCUCCUCUUAUCUAAGUCAAUUUGGAGAAGUCUGGUGGUGAUGAGGCAGAAUAUUCUUUUUUUUUUUUUGCUAUUUCUUGGGCCACUCCCACGGCAUACGGAAGUUCCCAGGCUAGGGGUCGAAUCAGAGCUGUAGCUGCCAGCAUACGCCAGAGCCACAGCAACACUGGAUCCGAGCCUCGUCUGCAACCUACACCACAGCUCACGGCAACGCUGGAUCCUUAACCCACUGAGCAAGGGCAAGGAUCGAACCCGCAACCUCAUGGUUCCUAGUCGGAUUCGUUAACCACUGCGCCACAACGGGAACUCCCAAGGCAGAAUAUUAAUUCAGGUAGUCAGUGUAGGAGCAUGGGCUCCCAUGCAUUCUUUGAUAUGGCUUUUGAUUAACAUUUGCAGCUUAAGGGCUCCAGGGAGUAACAUCCCCACAGGCCUUGUUUACUGUAGGGAGUGUACCUAUGCCCAGAUGGGAUGUUAAUCCUUAAUCCCCUGUGACUCAGUUUAUGGGAAGAAAAGGACAAAGAAACUAUGAGAUUUAUGGGACAUUUCCACCCCUAAGACCCUACCUCUUGGACAAGGACUGAUAUAGGUAAUUGAGAAAGAGCAAGAGGAGAAAACCACAUCUUUCUGGACCCCACGUUGGUGCCCCACCAUUUUUAGGAGAUAAAAAUCCCUGUAGGACAACAGAGAGGGGGGCUCUUCUCUCCCUCCCAGCAAACCUGGAAACUAUGUCCUUUAAUAAAGACCUCGCUUGCUUGCUGCCUGUGUGUUCGCAGAGUUCAUUCUUCUACAGCCGCAAACAAGAACCCAGAUCCUGGUAUCAUUUUUUUGGCAUCAGUGAGAUGACAGUCAAAAUAGUGGAGAGGGUUUUUUUUGUUGUGGCUGUUGUUGUUUAAAGUAAUUUUAAGGCAAGACGGGAAAUCCUCCUUCAUGGUGUGUUUGAAAACUUCAAUGCUGUGUGCUGUGAGAAUGAGAAUGAAUAGCCCAGGUAUCUAAAGGAUGGUAGUCCUCCGACACAGAUCUUCAUCACACAAUGUCUUCUUCUUAGUAUUUCCCCCUCCUCCUCUAUCUUCCAGAUGUUUCUUCCCUUAGAAUUGUUUUGGCUUCCUGUCAUUAUCCCAGGCUGUCCACUCCUGACAAUUUUCUCCUUGUCAGUUCUUUCAUAGCCACUCCGGUUUUUGUGUAAACCACAGAGCUUCAGUUGCUGGCAAAGUUCCCAGGAGCUUGGCCCAGAGCCAGCAGACAUUCAUCUCUUAGACAUCCCCAAAAUUCAGGAGGGGGGACUUUUCUAGUACAAUAGGCUUCCCCCAAAUGGAAUCAAGAUCCAAGCAAGUAUUUUUGCUUCCUGAGUUCAGUGGCUCUCCUUUUCUCCCUUCUGAUGGGUCCAGUGCCUCAGAGAGAAGAGAGGCUCCUACGUAACCGCAUCCAACUGUCUACCAGCAUUUGCAAGUGGAAAUCAACAUUUACCUAGCAAUUCCUUCAGGACUGGAUGCUCUUGCUUUUGAGGAGAAUUAGUUAUCUUCCCAGGAAUUGUCACAUAAUUUUUUGUCCUGAAAUUUUCCCCAAAGAUCCUGGUGUUCUCUAUAAUUUUAGGAUGCUUUAGCACCCCUAUUGUAGGAUGGUGAGCUCUUUUAUCUUUUGCUCUCUUUCCUUAAUCUUAAAGCUCAUUAAGGAUGAGAGACACAUGAGAGGGAACCAGUGGACUAACUUACAGACAGGUUUGUAUCCAGAUAAACAAUAAAUGUACCUCAUUACUGGUUACAAGCAGUUUUUGUUUUUUGUUUUAUUUUAUUAUUAUUAUUAUUAUUAUUAUUAUUUUGUCUUUUCUAGGGCCGAACCCGUGGCAUAUGGAGAUUCCCAGGCUAGGGGUCUAAUUGGAGCCAUAGCCGCCGGCCUACGCCAGAGCCACAGCAACUUGGAAUCUGAGCCACAUCUGUGACCUACACCACAGCUCAUGGCAAUGCCGGAUCUUUAACCCACUGAGCA
rnacentral:lncRNA from 1 species